GGUGAGUAAUGUAUCGGAACGUACCUUUCAGUGGGGGAUAACGUAGCGAAAGUUACGCUAAUACCGCAUAUUCUGUGAGCAGGAAAGCAGGGGAUCGCAAGACCUUGCGCUGAUUGAGCGGCCGAUAUCAGAUUAGCUAGUUGGUGAGGUAAAGGCUCACCAAGGCGACGAUCUGUAGCGGGUCUGAGAGGAUGAUCCGCCACACUGGAACUGAGACACGGUCCAGACUCCUACGGGAGGCAGCAGUGGGGAAUUUUGGACAAUGGGGGCAACCCUGAUCCAGCCAUGCCGCGUGAGUGAAGAAGGCCUUCGGGUUGUAAAGCUCUUUCGUCCGGGAAGAAAUCGCAUCAGCUAAUACCUGGUGUGGAUGACGGUACCGGAAUAAGAAGCACCGGCUA
rnacentral:rRNA from 1 species